rnacentral:piRNA from 1 species
CAGAUCUUAUGGUAACAGGCUGUCCUGG